AGGACGAACGCUGGCGGCGUGCUUAACACAUGCAAGUCGAGCGGUAAGGCCCUUCGGGGUACACGAGCGGCGAACGGGUGAGUAACACGUGGGUGACCUGCCCUCAGCUCUGGGAUAAGCCUGGGAAACUGGGUCUAAUACCGGAUAUGACCACAUGUCGCAUGGUGUGUGGUGGAAAGUGCGUUCUUUGUUGAGCGUUUCGACUGGGGAUGGGCCCGCGGCCUAUCAGCUUGUUGGUGGGGUGAUGGCCUACCAAGGCGACGACGGGUA
rnacentral:rRNA from 1 species